UACAGAGGUGGCAAGCGUUGUUCGGAAUUACUGGGCGUAAAGGGCGCGUAGGCGGUCUUGCAAGUCCUGUGUGAAAUCCCUCGGCUCAACUGAGGAACUGCACAGGAAACUGCUUGGCUUGAGUUCGGGAGAGGGAAGCGGAAUUCCGGGUGUAGCGGUGAAAUGCGUAGAUAUCCGGAGGAACACCGGUGGCGAAGGCAGCCCCCUGGGCCGACACUGACGCUCAGGCACGAAAGCGUGGGGAGCAAACAGG
rnacentral:rRNA from 1 species